GUAAGGGAGACUGGAAAUGAGUUUGUCACCUGGGCAUGUUCCCCAAGGUGAUUUUGUCCUGGCAUUUUCAGUACUGAACUUGGGCUUAAGAUGGAUAGAAAGGACAUGGAGACAUCAUUCUGCAUCACCUCCUCUGUCCUCUCUGCUCCUUGUCCCUCUGGUGGGAAGAGGGAGAGGAAAAGGAAGAGACAUUCCAAAGUGACUUGAGUCCUUUUGGCCCUGGGAGUGGGAAAUUAAAGAGAUGAACAGCAGCCUUUCUUCCCCAAGCCCUUAGCUGAGCCCAAGCGCUAUUCUGCCUUUGGGCCAGGUGUGCACCAGGCGGGGUAAGAGUUGAGGGCAACAAUAAUGCCACUAUAGUAACGGACUUCCAAGUUCUGACACUAAGGAAGAAGAGCUGAAUGGAUAUCGGGAAGGCAACUGAGAGUGUUUGCCACAGAGGCAAUCAGAGUGGUGGGAAGGAGUGGAAGCACUGGGGCCAGAUGCCAUCCUCUGCUCCACUAAUCACAGAUGGGAGAGUUUGGGCAAGUUACUUAAUCUCUCUGUUCUUCUGUGUCCUCAUCUUUAUAGAUGGAGUAACUAUGGCACCGAUCUCAUUGUCCGCAAUGCUUGUCAUUGUUCGAUUAUUACAUGGAUGACAUAGGAAGCUGCAGUUCUACUGCAUGAUCAACUGUAGGAUUGUGUGCACUGCAAGAAAGACCGAGAAUAUAUUCAAAAAUUGGCAGAGGGAGAGCGGCUUAGAAAUCCUCUUUUCCACAGAUCGCACCCCUCGCAGAGUCUAUGAACUCCCCAGCCACACACAGUGUCACUUUCCUGUGUUCAUCUUCCCCAGAUGCGGAUGCCUUUGGACAUGGUCUCACUCUGUCACCAGGCUGGAGUGCAGUGGCAUGAUCUCAGCUCACUGCAACCUCCAACUCCCUGAUUUAAGUGAUUCUCCUGCCUCAACCUCGUGAGUAACUGGGAUUACAGGCACACACCACCAUGCCUGGCUAAUUUUUGUUUGUUUUUAGUAGAGAUGGGGCUUGACCAUGUUGGCCAGGAUGGUCUCAAUCUCCUGACCUUGUGAUUCCCCCACCUCAUACUCCCAGAGUGCUGGGAUUACAGGUGUGAGCCACCACACCCGGCCCUCAUUCUUUCAUUCAACAAAUAUUUGGACUGGAUAAACUGAUACAAAUUCACAAUUACCAUUAGUGUGCCAAAUACUAAAUAGAGACAUUUAUAAGGUGCCAAGGAAGGCUAGAUGAAGAUUACUGGUUGGGGGAAGAAUAUAAAAGAUGGAUUAGGGUUGGGGGCUGAAGGUGGCUCACCAGUCGGGAAGUCACUGCAAGAGCCCAGGCAAGACACUGGGAGAGCAGCUGUGGGUGGCGGGGAUGGUGCUGGGAAUGGACUGGAUCCAGGAAAUUACAGGAGUAACUGGA